GACGAACGCUGGCGGCGUGCUUAACACAUGCAAGUCGAACGAAGUGGCGAACGGGUGAGUAACGCGUAAUCAACCUGCCCUUCAGGGGGGGAUAACAGUUGGAAACGACUGCUAAUACCGCAUCCUUCAGGAGGGGGUUGCGUCUGAUUGGCUAGUUGGCGGGGUAACGGCCCACCAAGGCGAUGAUCAGUAGCCGGGCUGAGAGGAUGAACGGCCACAUUGGGAAUGGGAAACGGCCCAGACUCCUAAGGGAGGGAGCAGGGGGGAAUCUUCCGCAAUGGAGGAAAGUCUGACGGAGCAACGCCGCGGGAGUGAUGACGGCCGUCGGGUUGUAAAGCUCUGUUAAGCGGGACGCGGUACCGGAAUAGAAAGCCACGGCUAACUACGUGCCAGCAGCCGCGGUAAUAC
rnacentral:rRNA from 1 species